UACGUAGGGACCAAGCGUUGUUCGGAUUUACUGGGCGUAAAGGGCGCGUAGGCGGCAAUUCAAGUCAUCUGUGAAAUCUCCGGGCUUAACCCGGAACGGUCAGGUGAUACUGUUUUGCUAGAGUGCGGAAGGGGCAAUCGGAAUUCUUGGUGUAGCGGUGAAAUGCGUAGAUAUCAAGAGGAACACCUGAGGUGAAGACGGGUUGCUGGGCCGACAAUGGCGCUGACAGCGCGAAAGCCAGGGGAGCAAACGGG
rnacentral:rRNA from 1 species